rnacentral:misc_RNA from 1 species
GAAAUGCGAUAAGUAGUGUGAAUUGCAGAAUUCAGUGAAUCAUCGAAUCUUUGAACGCACAUUGCGCCCCUUGGUAUUCCAUGGGGCAUGCCUGUUCGAGCGUCAUCUACACCCUCAAGCUCUGCUUGGUGUUGGGCGUCUGUCCCGCCCCCGCGCGUGGACUCGCCCCAAAUCCAUUGUCAGCGUUCCUUGCCCCCUCUCGCGCAGCACAUUGCGCUUCUCGAGGGCGGCUCCGGGACGCGAUCCAGCAAGAUGACCACCGUCUUUGACCUCGGAUCAGGUAGGGAUACCCGCUGAACUUAAGC